rnacentral:tmRNA from 2 species
ACUGGCUUCGACGGGGGAAUAAGGAGCAAAAGCAGCGAGCCGGGAUUCCAUCUGCCCGCAAUACGGUGGAAAAUUAUUAACUGCCAAUAACGAAUACGCACUGGCUGCUUAAUUAAGCAGCCCGUCCGCCUGGCCACGCCUGCGAGCCAGUAACGGGCGUCACACAGCAGGCUCACCCGCUUUCUCUUAAUCCCUGAAGAGACUGCCGGGAGCACCAUCGGGGAUAGCUGACAGGAAGCCUGCCGGUAGGCGUCCUGGAAGCGAAAUUAAACUGCCGGCUGCGCUCGGAGAGGCUUUUGUAGCCGUUCUUUCGGACAGGGGUUCGAUCA